rnacentral:rRNA from 1 species
UACGGAGGAUCCAAGCGUUAUCCGGAAUUACUGGGCGUAAAGAGUUUCGUAGGUGGCAUUGUAAGUCGGUAGUGAAAGCGUGGGGCUCAACCCCAUAAACAUUAUCGAAACUGCAAGGCUAGAGGACGAGAGAGGUUAUUGGAAUUCCCAGUGUAGGAGUGAAAUCCGUAGAUAUUGGGAGGAACACCGAUGGCGUAGGCAGAUAACUGGCUCGUUCCUGACACUAAGGCACGAAAGCGUGGGGAGCAAACGGG